UAUUCCUACCCCCACAAUUACUGUAUUUUAAAUCGUACAUUCUUAGGGGUGGGUGGGCAUCUCUUGCAGGUGCAACAUCCACAAACUGUGCAUGCAUGUGUGUGUGUCAACCACAACCAGACUUCCUAAAAAGUAGAGGUACGCCCCUCCUGGUAAACACGCUUAUUAGUCGCCAUGAGGGAGCCCCAGCACCAUGCUGACUCCCGGGGGCUGGAGCAGCAGCCGCUCCAGGGUUGCGUGUGGCUUGAGCAUUCCACAGAGGAGGGAGGGAGGGGUCCCAGGCGGAGGCCACCCCACAGCUGCCCCAGCCCUGCAGGGCACGUGCCUCCUCCCUGAGGGCAUGGCUCAGGCUGGGAGAGUGAUGUGUCCUGUGCGGCACUGUUGUUCCCAGAAGACAUUCUGUUUACUAUUCUAACAUCCCUUAUAGUUAUUUUUUAAAUUUUUAAUUCAGGCAGAGUAUUUCCAACCUUCUAUCAGAGAACAAUGGAACUGGUUGCUGUUUCUACGGGUGCCUUCGGCCACUUGUAUUACAACAGCAAAAUAUGCUCACUGCAGAAAAGCAGGCGGAAAAGUCCUGUCAUCCAAAGGUAAAGCCACUGCACGUGUGUGUCCCACUAAGGUCCCCGCCGUUGUGCUCCCUGUUCUGGAGUCUGAAGUCCAGGAUCACGGCGGUGUGCGGUGGGUUCCUGGCGAGGGCUCUUCUCUGCCCGCACACGUAGGGAAGUGGAGAGAGAGCUCUGACAUCUCUUCUUCUAAGGGCACUUGUCCCACCGGGGCCCAUCCUCACGCAUUGUCAACCCUCCGCACCUGCCGGAGGCCCACCCCCAGAUCCAUGAAAGCAGUGUCUUCUCACCUCUUAAGUGGGACCCAGUGGGUUCAGGGGGCUGAGUGGAGCCCAGUGGGUGGUAACUGUGAGCUCCCCUUUGCAGUGACCUUGUGGCGCCAUUUUGUUGGUGAGACUCUCCUCCCAGGCUGGUCACGUUGAUCAGGAAACGUCCUCUUAUCCCCUGUCGGCUGCCUGGACUCUGGGGGCAUCUUCCCCUGGUUACCUGAUUUCACUUUGGCACCCCCCCCUCCAGCUCUCCUCUCCAACCACGGGAGCCCACCAGCCACCCCUGGGUGACAAGGUGGGUCACCC